rnacentral:rRNA from 1 species
GAUGAACGCUGGCGGCGUGCCUAAUACAUGCAAGUCGAGCGAACAGAUGAGGAGCUUGCUCCUCUGACGUUAGCGGCGGACGGGUGAGUAACACGUGGAUAACCUACCUAUAAGACUGGGAUAACUUCGGGAAACCGGAGCUAAUACCGGAUAAUAUAUUGAACCGCAUGGUUCAAUAGUGAAAGACGGUUUUGCUGUCACUUAUAGAUGGAUCCGCGCCGCAUUAGCUAGUUGGUAAGGUAACGGCUUACCAAGGCAACGAUGCUUAGCCGACCUGAGAGGGUGAUCGGCCACACUGGAACUGAGACACGGUCCAGACUCCUACGGGAGGCAGCAGUAGGGAAUCUUCCGCAAUGGGCGAAAGCCUGACGGAGCAACGCCGCGUGAGUGAUGAAGGUCUUCGGAUCGUAAAACUCUGUUAUUAGGGAAGAACAAAUGUGUAAGUAACUAUGCACGUCUUGACGGUACCUAAUCAGAAAGCCACGGCUAACUACGU